GGACUAUUUUAAAUGAGACUCUAGAGUCCCAAAUUCUCCCUAACACCUUCUUCCAUAGACACCCCAAAAACCAUGGGAUUGUGGAAGCCCGAAGCCCUCAUUCUCUCUACUCUUUGCUUCAGUGAUUGAUGAACUCUCUCAUCGUUCUCACCUCCUCAAACCAUGCCCGAUGAACUCUCUUGAAAGCUUCUACAAAUUUCACCUCCUCAAACCAUGUUCGACGAACUUCCUCGAAUGCUUCUGCAAAUUGAAAGCUGAGAAGAAACCAAACUGAAUGAUUGGGAAUCAGAUAAUUGCAAAGGAUUUCGAUUCUGGUAGUAGAAUUUGUUUGGGAAGAAUUGCAGGCACCUUGGCUUGACUGGAAACCCAUAUCCCCUGACCAAGAACAUGGGCACCUUGGCUUGACUGGAAGAGAAAUUGGGUAUGGCUUUGAUCUGAGAAGUCUGAGAGAAAUGUUGAUGAUGUUGAUGGUGUUGCAGGUUUGUGGUGUUGAUGGAGUCUGGGUCUUCAUGUUUCUUGUAAACUAGAAGUCUGGGUCUUCAUGUUUCUUGUAAACUGUAGUUAUUAGUCCCUCCAACACCAAACAUAAGUCAGGACAUAGUAAACAUAAGCUCAGCUUGAGGAGUCCGAGACAAUUAUAAAAAUUAACGCGGGGUAUGACAAUCCCAGGAAACAAACAUCACCUUAGAUUGUGUGUGCCCACAAUUUGGGAUAGAUUCUUGGUUAUUUACUCGAAGUCAUGCAUGUAAUAUCUUUUUUUGUCAAUGUAUUCUACGGUACCCUUGUUUUUA